GAUUUACCUAACAUGAGUGACGUUAUAUUCUGUGACGUAAUUUAGUCCUUUACAGAAUUUCAUCGCAGCAAGCAAGCUGUUUAAAUUUCGUAAGCGGUAAAAUUGAAAAAAAUGAAAAGUAGUAUCUUGUAAAUGGUAAAGUAGUGUUUGUAUUGUAUGGUUAUAACCUGCCUCAUCCUUCCAAUGUUUAUUAGAAGUAAUCUUAGAAAGAAUUCAUUUCAUCGAUCGUCAUUUUUUUAACCAUAUAUUCCAUCAGGAAUUUCAUCGCCACGUGGAGAGCACAUGCAAAGACUGAAAGAGAUUGGUCCCAUUAUUCGUUUUCAUUUUUAUAAAUUAUUUAAUUUUUACAAAUAUUAGUAAUUAGAUGCAUUAUUGUCCUAAGAUUUGCAGAUUAUAAUAAUGAUUUCGUCAUUGUAUUUCUACAUCAAAUUAGAUGCAUGUAUAUAGUCUGCCCGAUACUGAUAUUAAGGUACUAAUAUAUAUAUAUAUAUGACGGCUACUGUGAUAGUCGAGUUUGGCAUAUUUUUACACCGUUAUUGCUAGGAUUUCAAACUCCUGUGGUCUAACAAUUGUAUUUGCGCUGUAACAGAUCAUGCAGGUUAGUAACGCGUCUUUAAUAAACGUAUUUACACUUUUGGUAUUUAGCUGAAUUUUGUCUCCGAAUGACCUUAGAUCUGUCUCCGAAUAACCUUCUGACGUCAAACAACAAUCCCUUUUUAAUUAUGACGUCAAAUGUUUUAACAAAUUUUACGGGAACUUGUGUGAUUCAAAGUAAUGGCGGACAAAUUUGCAUACAAGUGUAAAUAUGUCUCAUAUAUGACGACUACUGUGAUAGUCGAGUAUGGCAUAUUUUUACACCGUUAUUGCUAGGAUUUCAAACUCCUGUGGCCUAACAAUUGUAUUUGCGCUGUAACAGAUCAUGCAGGUUAGUCACGUGUCUUUAAUGUUUAUGUGUUGUGGGGCAGGCGUUAUCUGAUGAACUCCCGAAUUAUAAUUAAAUUUUCCUUAAAAUGGUAUACAUCGGUAAUUGUGUAUCUAGAUCUUUCAUAGCACAUAUACAGCAAAUAUUCCAUGAAAGGAUAUGAACGUACAAAGGUGUAAAAGGGACGUACCCUUUGGGGCGAAAGGACCCAGGUUCGUAACCGGAAGUUCAAUUUUCGAUACAAAUAAAAAAAAAUCUUGGAAAUCUUGCACAUAGACCAUGCCCGGAGUUAAGAAGCAGUAGCAAAAAAUCGUCAUGUCUAAAUCUUAGCUUGCUGGUGGAGUUAAGCAAACAUAUAUCAUUUUCUGUAUAUAUCCUGCUAUAAAUUUUGCGUGUACCUACACACUUGUUACUAAAAACUGUCAAGAGUGUCGAGUCUGUCACAUCAGUCAUCACAGUGACAUGUAUAGUUGCUACUACUCUCUAGCCUAGACUAGGUCGAUAUGCACAAUGUUGGGAAGAUCAGUUAGAAAGCGAAAAGUGCGACCUUGCUCUGCCACAGAACACCACCAGGGUUGUAACAGUUGGACCAGAGACAUAGACAACAAUGACACACCAGUUUUUACAAAUGGGUCACCAGACUGAACUGGAUUCAUGACUCAUCAUGCCACUAACUCAACUACUUUAGGUCACAUACAUUUGUACAUUGGAUCAUCAUCAGACAUCAUUUAUGCAAACCCCCAGAGCUCUGCAUUAGUAUGUUCCAGUUCACAGUUGAUAAUUUACCAGGUAAUCAUCAUAUUUACAAAAGCAGUAUAUUACUUUUAAGUUAAACCCCUACAUGUACAUGUGAUUCUAACAUAUAACAAACAUAUGUAUAAAGAUUAAGGCAACUUUUAUUUUUUUUUUCCAAUCUAAUGGUUUAGAUUUAAAAGAUUUGUGUAAUGAUUAUAUCUCAGUUUCUAAACUUAAAUCCACAAAAUAUUGCUGAAUGUGUUAUUUUUACAAUUUAUAGGGGAUGCCACAUCAUGCGUUAGAAAUAAAAAACAAUUCUUAAAUAUAAGGUUACAAUUAUAUAUUAUUAUAAAUAUAUUACAUGUGAAACUUUUAAAUGUUGUUUUGUAUAUUAUCAUAUGAUUUGUGACAUAUGAUUUGUAAUGGAGAACACUAUUGACUAAUAUAAUAUUAUUUAUCUUGAUACAUAAUCUGAAUAUUACAAAUCGAUAUGCAUGUACUGCAUGAAUACAGAUGUUGCAAUAAAGUACCACAAUUAUAAAGGACAAAAUUUAUAGAAGUGUAUAUUUAUUGAUCACUAUUUUAGGACAGACUGCAAAUAUUUCUGUUUGCCCAAACCCUACCAACCAGUCUCAGCAGACCGACAUCCUCCAGAUGGGGUUGACUUAGGUCUAGGCACGGAAAUGAAUCUUUGUGGUGGCAUGAUUGUCAAGCAUGUUAAAAGUUAACUCAGAACAUGAAACUAUGAGGAUCCACCAUAUUUCUUAAUAAAACAUGUAGCAGGUAAUGACACAGGUAGUUCUAGAGUGGGAUUUUUGCACAAUGAGAUGAAGAACAUGAUCAGAUGGAUUAUGCGGUUCAUCAAUUCUUAAGUAAGUAUGGUCUCAAAUUUGACCAGGUUAUUGCAAAGCAUGGACUUGUGUUGCUAUAGAAUAUACAACUAUAUUAUUGUCUUUAUAAUUAGCUGUCAGGGUUGCUACAUAAAAUAUUAUGAUUUUCGAUCAGACCAGAUAUUUUUCAACUGGAUGUUUUUCACUUGUCACCCUUAACAUGCUUAUGAAAUAAAUUGUUAAACAUCUUGAAUAUAUAUUUGAUGAUAUACUAUAAUAUACUAUAUUUUAUGGUAUACAAAUACAAUCAACUAUCUUAUGGUUUGGUGUAGUUUUGGUUAGUUUUUUUUAUCUGUGUAGGUAAAUAUGUUUUUGAACAGUUGUUCACAAAACAUCAUAUAGAUUAUUUAACAUAUAUAUGUACCAAGUUGUACUUUGAAUAAAAAUAUCUAUCUAUCUAUCUGUAGUUAUCUCAUAUCUGGUUCACAGCUUUGCAGCGAACCGCCCUUUUUAUGGCGGUUGACAGAGUCUCUGUUUUCCUCCGUCAAUGUGGCAGAAUUCGCUGCAUAGAAUCUUAAUGUUAACUAUGAAAUUUUAGGUUUUUGGAUAAUACAGACUACACUUGUGUAUCCCACGGUGUUUUCUAAAUUUAAAGCACCAGUGUAUCCCACGGCGCAUCUUUACAUUUUCAUAUAUAUCUAUCUAUCUACAUUUUGCAGCAAGGUUGCCAUAUUAUCUUCGGGUAACCAACCAUAUAUCUAUCUACAUAUACAUAUACAUCUAUCUAUCUAUAUAUAUAUAUAUAUAUCAUAUGAAUCUAUAUUAUGAAUAAAAGCUGUGGCCAGAUAUCGCCAAACCAUAUAUGUAUUUUGUUUCAAUGGCACCAUCUGAGAUAAUGGAAUUUAAGUAAAUAGACUUAAAUUCAGUUAUCGCUGGGGCCACUGACGGAUUGUGUUUCAUGUUUUAGAUUUACCUAACAUGAGUGACGUUAUAUUCUGUGACGUAAUUUAGUCCUUUACAGAAUUUCAUCGCAGCAAGCAAGCUGUUUAAAUUUCGUAAGCGGUAAAAUUGAAAACCCGCCCUCCCACUCCUUUUUUUGUACGAGAUACUGCUCUUUUGUAUUUAUUUUUCAGGUUUUUGUCGAUGACAGUGGUAAUACAGAUUUGACUGAUGAUGUUAACUUGUUUGCGGUUGAGAAAAGUGACUUUUAUUUGAACUUUGAGCAUCAUUAAUAGAUUCCCAGUAAUGGCAGAAUUCGCUGCAUAGAAUCUUAAUGUUAACUAUGAAAUUUUAGGUUUUUGGAUAAUACAGACUACACUUGUGUAUCUCACGGUGUUUUCUAAAUUUAAAGCACCAGUGUAUCCCACGGUGCAUCUUUACAUUUUCAUAUAUAUCUAUCUAUCUAUCUGCUUUUUGCAGCAAGGUUGCCAUAUUAUCUUCGGGUAACCAACCAUAUAUCUAUCUACAUAUACAUAUACAUCUAUCUAUCUAUCUAUAUAUAUAUAUAUAUAUAUCAUAUGAAUCUAUAUUAUGAAUAAAAGCUGUGGCCAGAUAUCGCCAAACCA